GCUGGUGUAGCUCAACAGGAAGAGCAGCACAUUCGUAAUGUGCAGGUUAGCGGUUCAAAUCCGCUCACCAGCU
rnacentral:tRNA from 1 species